GACGAACGCUGGCGGCGUGCUUAACACAUGCAAGUCGAACGGUGAAGCGCCUUCCUUUUUGGUGGGUGUGGAUGAGUGGCGAACGGGUGAGUAACACGUGAGUAACCUGCCCCCUUCUUCUGGAUAACCGCAUGAAAGUGUGGCUAAUACGGGAUAUUCUGGGUCUGUCGCAUGAUGGGUCUGGGAAAGAUAUUGUUUCGGUGGGGGAUGGGCUCGCGGCCUAUCAGCUUGUUGGUGGGGUGAUGGCCUACCAAGGCGGUGACGGGUAGCCGGCCUGAGAGGGUGGACGGUCACACUGGGACUGAGACACGGCCCAGACUCCUACGGGAGGCAGCAGUGGGGAAUAUUGCACAAUGGGCGCAAGCCUGAUGCAGCGACGCCGCGUGAGGGAUGGAGGCCUUCGGGUUGUGAACCUCUUUCGCCAGUGAAGCAGGCCUGCCUCGUUUGUGGGUGGGUUGACGGUAGCUGGAUAAGAAGCGCCGGCCAACUACGUG
rnacentral:rRNA from 1 species